rnacentral:rRNA from 1 species
UUGAAAGGGAAACGAUUGAAGUCAGUCGUACUUACGGGUAAUCAACCUUUUAAGUGCAAUUUUGUGAGCAUCUAAGAGCUUAACACCUUCUAUGUUCUCAAGUUCGUGCUUUUGGGCGUAUUUGCUCGUAUGUAGGUUAACAUCAGUUUCGGUUGUUAUAAAAUGACUGGAGGAAUGUGGCUUCGAUUUCGAUUGAAGUGUUAUAGCCUCUGGUAUAUGUAAUGACUCGGGACUGAGGACUGCAACGAAUACCCUUUGGGCUAUCCGUCUGGUCUCUGACUGUCGCUUUGGUGCCGAAAGCUUGCUUACGGUUAUCGAGGUUGAUGGUCAAUAGGUUAAAACGGAUUAAAUUCGUUAAGGAUGUUGACGUAAUGGCUUUAAACGACCCGUCUUGAAACACGGACCA